ACCAUCAAAGCCCUUGAAGCAAAGUUUCACUUUGGAAGGCCCACGCAGUGAGAAGUUAAUCACCUAUUGCCACAACAGUGCACAGGAACGAGCAGUUACCAAAUCACCAGGGAGCUGCUAUCCAGGGCUGUGAAGGCACACCUUGUUUUGUUCACAGGCCUGCAGCUUCACAAUCCUCCUCUCAACUACCGUGGUGCAGUGAGCACUGAGCCAAAUUUACAAGCCAGGAAGGUUUGACACGAGUGGGAGCAGUCUGGGAAAGCAGCGUGCAAAAUGUGACUCAAGAAGAGGCACAUGGAUUCCUCAAGCUCUCUGUUAAAUAAACAGAAUAUCGAUGUUUGCGGAGGAGUUUCAACAUGAACGUCCAGAUUUUUUUCAAAACAAGCAAAAAGCACAAC